CAGAAAGAGAGAGAGAGAGAUAGGCGGGUGUUUGUUGUUUUGGGUUAAUGAGUCUCUCGAUCAUUGUCCUUUUCCAAACCAACUACCCGGCCCUUUAUUAUUUAUCUUCAAUUCUCUUCUCACCCCUUUUAUUUAUUUAUUUAUCAUCUACCUCCCUCCUCUCUCCAUCCCUAGCUCAUCUUCACCAUUUUUCUCAUACAAAAUAUAUAUAUAUAUAUAUAUAUAUAUGAAGAAGGGAAAAAGAAGCUAUUUCUUUUGAGGGGAAUGUUGUUUGGCUCGAGAUCAUUAGAAACUACAGAUCUUUCUCUCUAUGUAUAGUUAUACAAAUUAUUAUAAUAUGAUGUUGUUAUAAUUAACUAAAUUAGUCAACGGAUCAAUUAUCAAUGGUCUUUGUUGGUUAAUAAUGAGGUUCUAGAUUGAUCAUUAUUUUAAAAGAGAUCGAGAAACUUGAUCACUGGAUCUGGUGUACUCGGACCAGGCUUCAUUCCCCCCAAUUGUUGCUUCUUUUCUUCUCACAAGCUUUCUUGCAUAUAUAAAGAUUCGAUCUUUCUUGAGCACUUUUUCUUGCAUAAAGCUUCGAUCUUUAAAGUGGAUAUAUAAUCUAUGAAGUUGGUAAUUUUCAUCGUCUUUGUUUAACCUUCUUUUUAAGAGAUGUCAGUGUGGAUUGAAGCACAAUCAAUCUUUCUUGCAUCAAGACAGACUCAGAAUCUUUAUUCUUAAUUCCAUCCUUUCUUUUGUUAAUUAUUUGUCUUAUUAGUUGUUACUACUUUAAAUAACAAAAUCUUUCUUGCAUAAAGACUUGAUCUUUGAA